rnacentral:rRNA from 1 species
GUGCCAGCCGCCGCGGUAAUACAGAGGGUGCGAGCGUUAAUCGGAGUGACUGGGCGUAAAGGGCACGUAGGCGGUUUAUUUAGUCUGAUGUGAAAUACCUCGGCUUAACUGGGGAUGUGCAUUGGAAACGGAUAGGCUAGAGUAUUGGAGAGGGAAGGGGAAUUUCCGGUGUAGCGGUGAAAUGCGUAGAGAUCGGAAAGAACACUCGAGGCGAAGGCGCCUUCCUGGCCAAAGACUGACGCUGAGGUGCGAAAGCAUGGGGAGCAAACAGGAUUAGAAACCCGAGUAGUCC